rnacentral:rRNA from 1 species
AGUGAACGCUGGCGGUAGGCCUAACACAUGCAAGUCGAACGGCAGCACAGUAAGAGCUUGCUCUUACGGGUGGCGAGUGGCGGACGGGUGAGGAAUACAUCGGAAUCUACUUUUUCGUGGGGGAUAACGUAGGGAAACUUACGCUAAUACCGCAUACGACCUACGGGUGAAAGCAGGGGAUCUUCGGACCUUGCGCGAUUGAAUGAGCCGAUGUCGGAUUAGCUAGUUGGCGGGGUAAAGGCCCACCAAGGCGACGAUCCGUAGCUGGUCUGAGAGGAUGACCAGCCACACUGGAACUGGGACACGGUCCAGACUCCUACGGGAGGCAGCAGUGGGGAAUAUUGGACAAUGGGCGCAAGCCUGAUCCAGGCAUACCGCGUGGGUGAAGAAGGCCUUCGGGUUGGAAAGCCCUUUUGUUGGGAAAGAAAAGCAGCAGGUUAAUACCCCGCUGUUCUGACGGUACCCAAAGAAUAAGCACCGGCUAACUUCGUG